rnacentral:tRNA from 1 species
GGCAUGGUGGCUCAGUGGCAAGAGCGCCCGCCUCAUGAACGGGAGGUCAUGAGUUCGAACCCCGGCCGAGUCA